GAUGAACGCUGGCGGCGUGCCUAAUACAUGCAAGUCGAGCGAACAGACGAGGAGCUUGCUCCUCUGACGUUAGCGGCGGACGGGUGAGUAACAUGUGGAUAACCUACCUAUAAGACUGGGAUAACUUCGGGAAACCGGAGCUAAUACCGGAUAAUAUAUUGAACCGCAGGGUUCAAUAGUGAAAGACGGUUUUGCUGUCACUUAUAGAUGGAUCCGCGCCGGAUUAGCUAGUUGGUAAGGUAACGGCUUACCAAGGCAACGAUGCGUAGCCGACCUGAGAGGGUGAUCGGCCACACUGGAACUGAGACACGGUCCAGACUCCUACGGGAGGCAGAAGUAGGGAAGCUUCCGCAAUGGGCGAAAGCUUGACGGAGCAACGCCGCGUGAGUGAUGAAGGUCUUCGGGUCGUAAAACUCUGUUAUUAGGGAAGAACAAAUGUGUAAGUAACUAUGCACGUCUUGACGGUACCUAAUCAGAAAGCAACGGCUAACUACGUG
rnacentral:rRNA from 1 species